GGGGCUGUAGCUCAGUGGCAAAGCGCUUGCCUAGCAUGCAUGAGGUACUGGGUUCGAUCCUCAGCACCACA
rnacentral:tRNA from 1 species